AUUGAACGCUGGCGGCAUGCCUAACACAUGCAAGUCGAGCGGAUGAAGGGAGCUUGCUCCUGGAUUCAGCGGCGGACGGGUGAGUAAUGCCUAUGAAUCUGCCUGGUAUUGGGGUAUAACGUCCGGAAACGGGCGCUAAUACCGCAUACGUCCUGAUGGAGAAAGUGGGUGGGCUUCGGACCUCAUGCUAUCAUAUGAGCCUAGUUCGGAUUAGCUAGUUGGUGGGGUAAAGGCCUACCAAGGCGACGAUCCGUAACUGGUCUGAGAGGAUGGUCAGUCACCUGGGAAGUGAGACAGGGCCCAGACUCCUGAGGGAGGCAGCAGUGGGGAAUCUUGGGCAAGGGGGGAAAGCCUGAUACAGCCAGGCGGAGUGUGUGAAGAAGGUGUUCGGAUUGGAAAGUACUGUAAGUUGGGGGGAAGGGCAGUAAGUUAAUACGUGGCGGUAUUGACGGUACCAGGAGAAUAAGCACCGGCUAACUUCGUG
rnacentral:rRNA from 1 species